AUUUUGUACGACUUUCUUCAUUCAGAGCCAUCCCCCAGCACUAAACUUUCUCUGGUGGCCACUGGGACAGUGCUGCCUUGCAUGAGGACCCUGCUGUUCCAGUACCUACAGGUCAAAUGAAAUCAAGGCUUUGACUUGGGUCCCCUUAGGCUGCACUUGCAGGAG
rnacentral:lncRNA from 1 species